GUACACGCUGUGACUAGCAUAUCAAUAAGCGGAGGAAAAGGUACCUACGCUUAGGAUGUUGACACACGCGCGUGCUCGAUGAUAGUCUAUACAUGACUCUGUGCAUAUCAAUAAGCGGAGGAAAAGAAACUAACAAGGAUUCCCCUAGUAACGGCGAGUGAAGCGGGAAGAGCUCAAAUUUGAAAUCUUAAAGGGUUUCCCUUUACGAAUUGUAGUUUAAAGAAGUGUUUUCUGUUGAGGUUUUGGUAAAAGUUCUUUGGAAUAGGACAUCAUAGAGGGUGAGAAUCCCGUAUUUGACCUUUACUUUCGACUUUGUGAUACACUUUCAAAGAGUCGGAUUGUUUGGGAAUGCAGUCCAAAAUGGGUGGUAAAUUUCAUCUAAAGCUAAAUAUUGGCGAGAGACCGAUAGCGAACAAGUACCGUGAGGGAAAGAUGAAAAGAACUUUGAAGAGAGAGUUAAACAGUACGUGAAAUUGUCAAAAGGGAAGCGUUUGACACCAGUGUUGUUUUUCUGAAAAUCAAUUAAAGAACUGUUUAUGCUAAGUUGUUUAGACAUUUAUCAGCUAACUGUUUAGUUUUGAGCUUUUCUUUAAUGCACUUCUCAGUUAACGAAGUCAACAUCAAUUUCUUUUGCUGUAAAAAAGCUUGAGGAAGGUGGCUUGAGAUUCGUCUUAAGUGUUUAUAGCCUCUUGCCUAUGCAGUCGGAGAGAUUGAGGUCUGCAGCGUAGAUCCUUCGGGGCUAAAUGCAUUUGUGCUAAGUUAUAACAUUUUAUAGACAACUUGUUGACUAUGAUUUGUCUUGUAGCUUACUCGCUUAUGUUAUUUUACCUACGCUUAGGAUGUUGAGAUGUAGCACAUCAU
rnacentral:rRNA from 1 species